CGGUUGCCUACAACACGUUCGAGCCCGUUAAUGGGUGAGAGCGUGCCGUUGGUAGAAUGAACCGGCGAGUUACGUUAUGAUGCGAGGUUAAGUUGAAGAGACGGAGCCGUAGGGAAACCGAGUCUGAGUAGGGCGCCGUAGUAUCAUGACGUAGACCCGAAACCAUGUGACCUACCCAUGAGCAGGUUGAAGGUGCGGUAAGACGCACUGGAGGACCGAACCAGGGCACGUUGAAAAGUGCUUGGAUGACUUGUGGGUAGCGGAGAAAUUCCAAACGAACUUGGAGAUAGCUGGUUCUCUCCGAAAUAGCUUUAGGGCUAGCGUCGACAUUAGAGAUUCUUGGAGGUAGAGCACUGUUUGGGUGAGGGGUCCAUCCCGGAUUACCAAUCUCAGAUAAACUCCGAAUGCCAAUGAAUUAUGGUCGGCAGUCAGACUGCGAGUGCUAAGAUCCGUAGUCGAAAGGGAAACAGCCCAGACCACCAGCUAAGGUCCCAAAAUAAUUGUUAAGUGGAAAAGGAUGUGGGGUUGCACAGACAACUAGGAUGUUAGCUUAGAAGCAGCUAUUCAUUCAAAGAGUGCGUAAUAGCUCACUAGUCGAGUGACCCUGCGCCGAAAAUGUACCGGGGCUAAAACAAUUUACCGAAGCUGUGGAUACCUUUAUAGGUAUGGUAGGAGAGCGUUCUAUGUGUGAAGAAGGUAUACCGUGAGGAGUGCUGGAACGCAUAGAAGUGAGAAUGCCGGUAUGAGUAGCGAAAGACAGGUGAGAAUCCUGUCCACCGUAAGACUAAGGUUUCCAGGGGAAGGCUCGUCCGCCCUGGGUUAGUCGGGACCUAAGGAGAGACCGAAAGGUGUAUCCGAUGGACAACAGGUUGAUAUUCCUGUACUAGAGUAUGUAGUGAUGGAGGGACGCAGUAGGCUAACUAAAGCAGACGAUUGGAAGAGUCUGUCUAAGCAGUGAGGUGUGAAUUGAGUCAAAUGCUUAGUUCUAUAACAUUGAGCUGUGAUGGGGAGCGAAGUUUAGUAGCGAAGUUAGUGACGUCACACUGCCAAGAAAAGCUUCUAGCGUUUAAACAUACUCUACCCGUACCGCAAACCGACACAGGUAGUCGAGGCGAGUAGCCUCAGGUGAGCGAGAGAACUCUCGUUAAGGAACUCGGCAAAAUGACCCCGUAACUUCGGGAGAAGGGGUGCUGACUUUAAGUCAGCCGCAGUGAAUAGGCCCAAGCAACUGUUUAUCAAAAACACAGCUCUCUGCUAAAUCGUAAGAUGAUGUAUAGGGGGUGACGCCUGCCCGGUGCUGGAAGGUUAAGAGGAGUGCUUAGCGUAAGCGAAGGUAUGAAUUGAAGCCCCAGUAAACGGCGGCCGUAACUAUAACGGUCCUAAGGUAGCGAAAUUCCUUGUCGGGUAAGUUCCGACCCGCACGAAAGGCGUAAUGAUUUGGGCACUGUCUCAACGAGAGACUCGGUGAAAUUUUAGUACCUGUGAAGAUGCAGGUUACCCGCGACAGGACGGAAAGACCCCAUGGAGCUUUACUGCAGUUUGAUAUUGAGUGUCUGUACCACAUGUACAGGAUAGGUAGGAGUCUAAGAGAUCGGGACGCCAGUUUCGAAGGAGACGCUGUUGGGAUACUACCCUUGUGUUAUGGCCACUCUAACCCAGAUAGGUGAUCCCUAUCGGAGACAGUGUCUGACGGGCAGUUUGACUGGGGCGGUCGCCUCCUAAAAGGUAACGGAGGCGCCCAAAGGUUCCCUCAGAAUGGUUGGAAAUCAUUCGCAGAGUGUAAAGGUAUAAGGGAGCUUGACUGCGAGAGCUACAACUCGAGCAGGGACGAAAGUCGGGCUUAGUGAUCCGGUGGUUCCGUAUGGAAGGGCCAUCGCUCAACGGAUAAAAGCUACCCUGGGGAUAACAGGCUUAUCUCCCCCAAGAGUUCACAUCGACGGGGAGGUUUGGCACCUCGAUGUCGGCUCGUCGCAUCCUGGGGCUGUAGUCGGUCCCAAGGGUUGGGCUGUUCGCCCAUUAAAGCGGCACGCGAGCUGGGUUCAGAACGUCGUGAGACAGUUCGGUCCCUAUCCGUCGCGGGCGUAGGAAAUUUGAGAGGAUCUGCUCCUAGUACGAGAGGACCAGAGUGGACUUACCGCUGGUGUACCAGUUGUCUUGCCAAAGGCAUCGCUGGGUAGCUAUGUAGGGAAGGGAUAAACGCUGAAAGCAUCUAAGUGUGAAACCCACCUCAAGAUGAGAUUUCCCAUGAUUAUAUAUCAGUAAGAGCCCUGAGAGAUGAUCAGGUAGAUAGGUUAGAAGUGGAAGUGUGGCGACACAUGUAGCGGACUAAUACUAAUAGCUCGAGGACUUAUCCAAA
rnacentral:rRNA from 1 species